AUGUGAUUUUUGUUCUUUGGAUGUGUUUUGCAGUGUUCUUCACGAAGUGGUCAACAGAGCAGACGAUGGUGGAAUCACACCUCUUCAUAAUGAAUGUAGAGAUUCUCUAAUUGAAAAAAUUAAUUCUGUAGUUUUGUUUUCACUUUGGCGCUUUGGUUAUACAUUGUAGGUGCUGGGGGUACACAACUCUCCAUUAUGCUUCAUGUGAUGGAAACACGUAGUGUUUUGUUUCAUUUGGAUCAUAUAUGAAUUCAUUUGGCAUUUGUUUUCACAGCUAUUGAUCGAUAAGGGGGCCUGUUUUAGCUGCCAUGAACUCCAACGAGUUUGUUCUUCUCUCUAUUUCUCCGCCUGUAAGAUGGCUGCAAGAUAGGAAGCCAAAAACACAUUUGCUUUGAAGUCCCAGAUUGAAUAGCUACAACAAGAGAGGGAUGGAUUUCAAAGGAUGGUGAUUGAAAACCAGUUACUAUAAGGUGAUCUGCUGAUGGUAUGAGUGGAGAUCUACUAGGGCUGCUUCGGUUUCUUUAUUACUUGGUUUGGUGAAGAAAUGUACCUUGUUUUUCUUUAUGACUUGGUUGGUGAUUCAAGCAUUUGUAUCUUUUGGGAAUUUGAUAGAAUGAUUCUAUGUAAAAUGUAUGUUUUAUAAAUUUAAUGUAGUAUUAAUUUUAUUUAUGAA